GACGAACCGUGCGAACGUUGUUCGGAAUCACUGGGCUUAAAGGGCGCGUAGGCGGGUGUGCAAGUCUGUGGUGAAAGCCUCCAGCUUAACUGGAGAAGUGCCAUGGAUACUGCACAUCUUGAGGAGGGUAGGGGCAUCUGGAACGGUCGGUGGAGCGGUGAAAUGCGUUGAUAUCGACCGGAACUCCGGUGGCGAAGGCGAGGUGCUGGACCCUUCUGACGCUGAGGCGCGAAAGCCAG
rnacentral:rRNA from 1 species